rnacentral:lncRNA from 1 species
AGGUGCUUGCAGAUCAUAAGUUGCUUCUGCGGCCGCCUCCUUUCCAGUGCUAACAAGAUGUUCCAUUCAGUGUCUGUCUGUUCUUCCGAGUGCUAUGGGAAACUCCAAUAUAUGUUCUUUCAAUUUAUUUUAUUCCUUUUCGGUUUCGCCAUCUUCAUAAACGAUGUGUUCGAAUUGUCUGGCAAGUUCCAGUGAUAUUCCAGUCUGUUUUUGUCAUCUCUUCCCCUCCCCUGUGUUUUGUUCCUUAAGUGAGAUCGGUUCCAAUGCUCCAAGUAGUUGAACUAUGGCAAUGUUCUAAGAAAGAAUGCUGUCAUGUGUGUAUACUGAAAGUUCAGAUUUAUAAUUUUUGUGUAUGGUAACAGUAUUGUCUGAUGAUUGUUCCCCAAUUUGUUCCCUGAUGAUCAGUAACAAAUAUUAUCACAAUGUAACUUUGGUCCAUGUGCAAAAGUGGAGGUUUUAAGGAAUCAAGACACAUGGAUUGCUUGAGCAUCAAGUCUGUUACAUUGAUGACAGUCCUUUUUGUGCUUAUCUGUAGAUAUCUGAAUAUGCCCAUCUUUUGCAGGAGACAGAUCAUCCUACUGAGGAUCAUGGAGCUCAGAUGAUAAAACUUACUGAAGAUCACCAUAUUCUGUGCAAUUUGGUUGGUACUACCAUUUUUAUAGAUCUCCCAAAAUGAUCAUCUUGUGACUUCCUUUCUGUGGUUUCUUGGUGCUCUCUUGCAGUACUUUUCUUAUUUCUUGUAGUCAUCUGCAUUGUGUGGCUAGCCAGUAAGGUGGGUGCAGCUCUACUUUUUAUUUUCCCUAAGUGAGGAGGUUGCAUUGACAUCGCCACAUCGGCUAUGAUGAUCAAUAGAAUUAAGCAGCCUUUCCGCUUGCUGGACCACUUCAGCUGUGUUUUGAGAUAUUAAAUAGCGUAUUAUCCCGAAUCAUACACAGUACAUUCAAAUCAGAGAGCCUGAUUUUUCUCUCUCUCUUUCUGAUAAGGACACCACUUUAUAUCUUCUUUUCCUGUUUGCAUUUUGUAAUUAUCCUUAUUGCAUUUAAUUCACUUGAUGCUUCCAUUCCAACAGAAAUUUUAGGUUCAUCAAUCGCUUUAUACACGUUUUUUUAAACGUCAGUCAAAAUCAUGGGCCUCUGAAAUGGGCUGAGUACUAUUAAACCAGGCUAGACAUGAAUUAACUAUGCUGUAGGUUGGCAUUUGGUUUUCAUUGGUUUGUUUAUAUGGAUAUUGUAAAGAUACUCCUUUGGGGUUUGUUGUAUCUCUCUCUACUCUGUGUGCAUAGAUAGACUUGAGUGGAACAUUGUGUGGUUAACAUAGAUUGGGCUGCAAAGCUUCCUUCUUUUUGGUUACCUUGUUUCAUCUGUCUGGAUCAACCUCAAACUUAUCAAUUCAGUCUUUUAAAUUGCAAUAGAGGCUUCAUAACCAGAUUUAUUUAACGUGCACUGAGACCAUUCCAUAUGGACAGUUUUUGGUGGCUAAAUGACUUGCUGACGAUUCGCUUCUUUUGGACACAGUGUGCUGUUUGCUAGUUCCUGUCGAUACAUUUGGGGAUUUAUUGUAGCUACAAUUUGGUUAGUUUCAAAUAUAUUUGAAGCUUUAUAAAAGCUUGCAUUUGUAGUGAAUGCAGACAGAGUAUAUGGCCUCCCUGAAUGGUGAAUAUGGCUCUGCUUGACUUUGCAUGUGUGUGUAAUGAAUCAUUAUUUCAUUGCAAGCAUAUGACAUUCGGAAAAAAAAUGUGAUUCGCUCUGCCACAGAUUGCAGUGUGUUUUACAUCCUGGGAAUGCAUGGUUUUAUGCUCUGGCUUCGCCCUGUUUUGCAUCAUGACGUCUAUAAGCACCUGUUUUACUAGAUGAAGUGAAUCAAUUCUUCAUUUGGAGGACACUGAGCAAGACACAUAAUUGCAACCACAAUUCGUGUUCAAAAUGGUGCGCAUAAACAGGUAAAGGCAACUGGCAAAGACAGAGUUAUAGUCUCUGCUGGUACUGAUGUCCUUCUUUCGACUAUUUGGAAAACAAAAAUAAUUCAUUCCCUGCAGAUCCCACUAAUGUUAUGUUUUCUUGGUGCUCUCUGCUGGACUCAUGGUCUGCUGUAGAAUGAGUGGAAAGUGCUUUGCUCUAAACUUAUGGUUCCAUUUUCUUAGUUACCACACAGGCCAUGAGAAGUUAUCAUUUUUUUCCUGACAUUAGUAUUUGCACAUUUUUGUGGUAGUACGAAGGUUAUCUCUAGGGACUACGAUAAACCAUCUACUGUAUAACCGAUGAAACGCACAUUAGUGUAUUCUUAUUGUUUACAUGCCUCAAUCAACACUUAAUUCUGCUGAUUUUGUUCUUGCUACAGAUAAAAUUUUAGUUAAUGAGUUCUGCCAUAGAUAUGCAACCUGUUUGCUCUUUGUAGUUGUUCAAGUAAGAAAUAUAAUGCCCCGGCCAAGCAACAGAUUGUUCCUUCAGUUUUCUUUUGAUACUGAGUAUUAGCACAAGAUGUGAUUGUUAUAAGUCGUCUAAUCAUUGUUCCUGUAACCUCGUAACUUUGCAGAUAUGCCGAGCACUUGCUUAUAUACAUAAUUGUGUUGUCAUCUGCCACCAUGAUAUCAAACCACAGAACAUUCUAGUGAGAUUUUUAACCUCCUUUUCUAUGCUUAAUAUGCUGUGCUGUUGUGUUUUACAUAUCUUCCAUCAAAUCCUGCAGAAUUGUUUGGCUAGUUGGGCUUUCUUUACAUCUGGAAGAACAUUUACUAAUCAAAUUUGAAUAACCACUACUCCAAGGAGUAAUACAUUUUUGCUAACCUAGUAAGCUUUCCACUGUAGGUUAACCCACAUAACACGAGCUCAAAAUCUAAAUCUGUGAUUUUGGCAGUGCAAAAGUCUUGGUAAGUUAUCUUCUAUAAUAAGGUAGAAAUUUAAAUGUUUGAGUACUGCUGAUUUCGAAAAGAACAUGCUAAAAUUUCUUGAUAAGAACAAAAAAAAGGGUGUGCACUUAUGCCAGUAACCUACCCAGAAAUGAUGAUUUCUAAAUUGUUUUCAAAGUAAUGCUUUGCAUAUAUCUCCUACAUUUACUCAAGAUAUUACCGAGCACCAGAACUAUAUUUGGUGCAACUGAAUGUACUACUGCCAUUAUUUUGUUGUGGUUUUGUUCACUGCAGACUGAAUAUCUGCUCUGUCAUGGCAGAACUGCUUCCCCCAUAGAUUUUUUCAUUCAUGCAUAUAGUCUUUUACUCCCUGCGUCUCAAAAUAAGUGUUGCUGAUUUAGUAGAACAUUAGUACAAAGUUGUACUAAAUCAACGACAUUUAUUUUGGGAUGGAAGGAGUAUUUUACUCUCUAGCUUGUUCUCAUAGUAUUCAUCCAUCCAUGCAGCCUCUUUUUCCUGGGGGGAAGUGGAGUUGAUCAACCGGUUGUGAUUACCAAGGUGAAAUCUUGCAGUAUGACAUUUGGUAACUGUUUUCUCCUGCGACCUGCAUUCUUUACAAUGAUAUGUUCGGUCAUAAUGCGUCGCAGGUCUUGGGGUACUCUAACCAGGGAAGAGAUCAAGUGCAUGAAUCCAACCCACACGGAGUUCAAGUUCCCACAGAUUAAGGCUCGCCCGUGUCACAAGGUAAUGUGUGCAUAUUUUACCUGUCAUGCAAAAUUGCCCGGUCUGCACAAUUGCUGUUCUAGUUGGCGUGUACUUUCGGGACAGGGAGAGUUUUAACAUUGGCACCAAAAUAAGCAUUCCUCAGAUACUUAACAAAAAAGAAAAUAAAUUACAACGGACAAAAAUGGAAAGCUGAUGCAAUGAGAAAAAAGGGCCAGGCGAGAAAGAUGUUUCUCAGAUGGGCCGGGCUCUGCCUGUGUUUCCAGCAGGCAGCAGCCCAACCUCACGGGCCAGCGCCCAAAAAGCUCCCACCGAGGGGGAGCUGCGUGGCUGCACUCCUAACAUUAGUCCCACCUCGCCAGUUUAAGGGGAGCGGAACCAGCUUAUAAGCCGAGGCGCGGCAGGAGGUAGCACGACCUUACUUGAACAGGAUCUGUUCUAUAGGCUCGUACCGUUGCAUCCUUUACCAAUAAGGAGGCAAGCACUUCAGUCUGGUUGAUGUAUUCUGACCUCUGGGCCAGAGCGUGAUUAACGGUCAGGAUUACCCUGAUGGGGCAAUCUGAUGGCUGUAGAGGAUCGUUCCUGCCUGGCUCUCACGCCUGUGCAGGGUGGCCCAGAGGUUGUCUGACAGACUACAACAUCUUUUUUUGCCUUGUGCUCGUUUUUUAAGUCUCUUUUUCAGUCACUCAUUCUACAUUCAGUAUGUAUUUCUAUUUGCAAUCACACAUCUCAAAUUAUCUUUUUGCAAUCACUCAUUCUACAUUCUCCCCCCGUUCACUUUUAUAGAUAAAGAAGACCAAAAAUGAAGAAUAAUAAGAAUACUGAUGAUAACUAAGGUAAUGAACAAAGAGAGAACAAUGAAUUAAGGAAAAAAAAGUGAUGUGGCUAAAAAAGGAGAGUGAAAUCUGAACAAAAGACUGGACUAAACAGUUACCAGCUUUAUGCACAUAUGCUAACUCCAUUUUAUCAAGAAUUUUCGUAAAGUAUGACAUGUUUUUUUUGGUGGUUGGUUCGCUUCUUUUGGACACAAUGUGCUGUUUGUUAGUCCCUGUCCAUUCAUUUGUGGAUUUAUUGUAGCUACAAUUUCGUCAGUUGCAAAUAUAUUUGAAGCUUUAUAAAAGCUUGCAUUUGUAGUGAAUGCAGACAGGGUAUAUGCCCUCCCUGAAUAGUGAAUAUGGCUCUGCUUGAUUUUGCGUGUGUGUGUAAUGAAUCAUUAUUUCGUUGCAAGCAUAUGUGCUUCGCAAAAAGAAAGUAUGCGACUCACUCUGCCGCAGAUUUGCAGUGUAUUUUAUGCUCUGGCUUCGCCCUGUUUGACAUCAUGACGUCUAUAAGCACCCUGUUUUACUAGAUGAAGUGACUCAAUUCUUCAUUUGCAGGAGACCGAGCCAGAUGUGGUUGCAGAUUCUGGUGCUGAAUAUGGUCACAUAUUUGCAAGCACAAUCCGUGGCCAAAAUGGUCUGCCUAAACAGGUAAAGGCAACUGGCAAAGACAGGUUGUCUGACAGACUACAACAUCUUUUUUUGCCUUGUGCUCGUUUUUUAAGUCUCUUUUUCAGUCACUCAUUCUACAUUCAGUAUGUAUUUCUAUUUGCAAUCACACAUCUCAAAUUAUCUUUUUGCAAUCACUCAUUCUACAUUCUCCCCCCGUUCACUUUUAUAGAUAAAGAAGACCAAAAAUGAAGAAUAAUAAGAAUACUGAUGAUAACUAAGGUAAUGAACAAAGAGAGAACAAUGAAUUAAGGAAAAAAAAGUGAUGUGGCUAAAAAAGGAGAGUGAAAUCUGAACAAAAGACUGGACUAAACAGUUACCAGCUUUAUGCACAUAUGCUAACUCCAUUUUAUCAAGAAUUUUCGUAAAGUAUGACAUGUUUUUUUUGGUGGUUGGUUCGCUUCUUUUGGACACAAUGUGCUGUUUGUUAGUCCCUGUCCAUUCAUUUGUGGAUUUAUUGUAGCUACAAUUUCGUCAGUUGCAAAUAUAUUUGAAGCUUUAUAAAAGCUUGCAUUUGUAGUGAAUGCAGACAGGGUAUAUGCCCUCCCUGAAUAGUGAAUAUGGCUCUGCUUGAUUUUGCGUGUGUGUGUAAUGAAUCAUUAUUUCGUUGCAAGCAUAUGUGCUUCGCAAAAAGAAAGUAUGCGACUCACUCUGCCGCAGAUUUGCAGUGUAUUUUAUGCUCUGGCUUCGCCCUGUUUGACAUCAUGACGUCUAUAAGCACCCUGUUUUACUAGAUGAAGUGACUCAAUUCUUCAUUUGCAGGAGACCGAGCCAGAUGUGGUUGCAGAUUCUGGUGCUGAAUAUGGUCACAUAUUUGCAAGCACAAUCCGUGGCCAAAAUGGUCUGCCUAAACAGGUAAAGGCAACUGGCAAAGACAGAGUUAUUGUUUCUGCCGGUGCUGCUGGCCUUCUGUGGACUACUUGGAAAACAAGAAAUAGAUCUUGUUUCCAAGGUGUAUUCCAUGGAGAUCCUACUUAUGUUUUUUUUUGUGCUCUCUGCUGGAUUUGUGGCCUGUCCUGUAAAAAAGAGGGGUGCAGGUGCCAAACAUGCCGCGUCAGGUGUCUAGGAAGCUUAACCAAGUAACACGCGAAAUCCUCAGUCGUGAGUGAGAUUUCCAAAUUGUUUUGAAAGUAAUGUUUUGCAUAUAUGCAGGUCAAGUGAGAGCUGAAUAUCUCCUACAUUUUCUCAAGAUAUUACAUAGCACCAGAACAAAUUUGGUGCAACUGAAUAUACCGCUGCCAUUUGAUUUGUUGUGGUUUUCUUCACGGCAGACUGAAUAUCUGCUGUGUCAUGGCAGAGCUGCUUCUCGGACAGGUUCUGUUCAUGCAUGUAGUCUUUUAUUUUAUUCUCUAGCUUCAUAAUAUUCAUUCAUCAAUGCAGCCUCUUUUUCCUGGAGAAAGUGGAGUUGAUCAGCCGGUUGAGCUUAUCAAGGUGAAAUCUUGUAUGACAUUUGAAACUGUUUUCUCCCUCGACCUGCAUCCUUUACAAUGACAUUUGUUCAGUCAUAAGUUAAAAAAGAAGACAUUUGUUCAGUCAUAAUAGUGGGUCGCAGGUCUUGGGUACUCCAACAAGGGAAGAGAUCAAGUGCAUGAAUACAAACUACACGAAGUUCAAGUUCUCCCGAACUAAGACUCGUCCGUGGCACAAGGUAAUGUGCAUGUAUUGUGUUUGUCAUGCAAAAUUGCCUGGUCUGCACAAUUGCUGUUCUAGUUGGCGCAUACUUUCGGAACAGGGAGAGCUUUACCGUUGACUAGGGUGCUGAUAAACUGCGAGAAAAUUCUCGAAACAGGCUUUCGCCCCACUUUAUAUAUAAAACAACAACACGGUACAAUACAUGGCCGAACGAUACAAUGUGGUGAGAAGGCCCUCUUACAAAGCAGAUAGAAAGAUAUAACAAGAAGCCUAUAGCUAGCCUAAUGCCUCACCUAGGACCGACCGACGACAUCAAAACUCCAUGGCAACACCCCCAGGAGGGUGACGGCGCAAUGCGUUGGCGCUGCCGAGUCUGAGUACAAACAAGGGUUUUCACCCGGAGGCUUGGCACAUGAACAAGACCCACGACUACGUCUUCAAGAAGAUAACGACACCCGCGGGCGCCGCCGGUGCCGGCGCCAAGUGCGAAGCUUUCGUUCAGGAACUCGCCAAUCUCACUAGGAGGUGCCCUGGUCACCACCACAACGAGAGUCAGGCCAACCCCACCAGAUUAGGGCACCAACAGAGGAGGCUAGAGCCUUCUGCCACCCUUGCCGCCCACACGGCCAAGAGGUGAAGGCACCACUGCCACCAUGGAGCCUGCCGGAAAGCCCACCGUGGAUCCCGCCAACCGGGGCCGCUGCCCCGGCAUCCUCAGACAACUCAACACCGACGCCAAAACACGUGUCCGCCACCCCAACCAAGCCACGAGCCUCCACCUCGACAUGGACAGAGAGGGCCCGGAGCACGCGCAGGAGAGCAACCAGCCCUAGCAGAAGGACCAAGUUCAACCGCUGCUCCGGCGGCCAAUCGUGUCACUUGCCAAUUGCCAACUACUCCCUCCGUUUCAAAUUACUCGUCACAGAAAUGAAUGUAUCUAAAACUAAAAUACAUCUAGAUACAUCCAUUUUUGCGACAAGUAAUUCGAAACGAAGGGAGUAGUACUACCGGGAAAGGAGGGCGUCUUCCCAUUAGAAANNNNNNNNNNNNNNNNNNNNNNNNNNNNNNNNNNNNNNNNNNNNNNNNNNNNNNNNNNNNNNNNNNNNNNNNNNNNNNNNNNNNNNNNNNNNNNNNNNNNNNNNNNNNNNNNNNNNNNNNNNNNNNNNNNNNNNNNNNNNNNNNNNNNNNNNNNNNNNNNNNNNNNNNNNNNNNNNNNNNNNNNNNNNNNNNNNNNNNNNNNNNNNNNNNNNNNNNNNNNNNNNNNNNNNNNNNNNNNNNNNNNNNNNNNNNNNNNNNNNNNNNNNNNNNNNNNNNNNNNNNNNNNNNNNNNNNNNNNNNNNNNNNNNNNNNNNNNNNNNNNNNNNNNNNNNNNNNNNNNNNNNNNNNNNNNNNNNNNNNNNNNNNNNNCGACCUUGAGAAAAUCAAGGCUCAUCAAUUUAGAGUUUCUCAGUUUUUUUAGUAGACGAGUUUCUCAGAUAAUCCGGCCAAAAAAAGCAUUCCUCAAAUACUUUUGACAAAAAGGAAAAUAAGUUACAACGAAUGAUGCAACGAAAAGGAAACGAAAAAGCCACACGAGAUAGAUGUUUCUCAGAUGGGCCAGACUCUGUGUAUCCAGCAGGCAGGAGCCCAACCUCACGGGCCAGCAGCCCAGCACCCACGAGUCAGCCCUUCUAAGCUCCCAUCGAGGGCGUUGCUGCGCAGCUGCACGCUUAACAUUAGUCCCACCUCGCCAGUUUGCGGGGAGCGGAACCAGCUUAUAAGCCGAGGCGCGGCAGGAGGUAGCACGACCUUACUUGAACAGGAUCUGUUCUAUAGGCUCGUACCGCUGCAUCCUUUACCAAUAAGGAGGCAAGCACUUCAGUCUGGUUGAUGCAUUCUGACCUGUGGGCCAGAGCGUGAUUAACGGCCAGGAUUUCCCUGAUGGGGCAAUCCGACAGCUGUAGAGGAUCGUUCCUGCCUGGCUCUCACACCUGUGCAGGGUGGCCCAGAGGUUGUCUGACAGACUACAAAUCUUUUUUUUUCACUUCUUUUUUUAGACUGCAGUUGUCUCUGUAAUAAUCUGCAGAACGAGCUGCACUUGACUUCCUGGAACACGACGUCUGCCGGCACGAGCUGCAGCUGCAGCUUGAGCGCGCAUCUGACCUGGAACUUGCACCUCGAACAACCCCCGUCGCGUUCUCCUUCCUGAACUCGGCCACACUGGCGUCGCCUAUCAGAAAAUGAACACGGAUGGAACUGAAGAGUAAUCAAAUAUAUACAGAGGGAACGAUAACUGAAGAUUGAGGGAUGAAACUCAUGAAAGACAAAACAUAACUGGCAAGUUUUUUCCUUUUCGGUUUGUCAUCUUCAUAAACGAUGUGUUUGAAUUGUCUGGCAAGUUCCAGUGAUAUUCCAGUCUGUUUUUGUCAUCUCUUCCCCUCUCCCUGUGUUUGUGCCUUAAGUGAGAUCGGUUCUAAUGCUCCAAGUAGUUGAACUAUGGCAAUGCUCUA